rnacentral:rRNA from 1 species
UCCUGGCUCAGAACGAGCGCUGGCGGCGCGUUUAAGCAUGCAAGUCGAGCGGCAAGGGCCUUCGGGCCCCUAGAGCGGCGGACGGGUGAGUAACACGUGGACAAUCUGCCCCCCGGCCCGGGAUAGCCCAGGGAAACCUGGAUUAAUACCGGAUGAGACGGGACCCGCGAUGGCGGGACCCGGGAAAGGCGCUGCGGCGCCGCCGGGGGAUGAGUCUGCGUCCCAUUAGCUAGACGGCGGGGUAACGGCCCACCGUGGCGACGAUGGGUAGCCGGCCUGAGAGGGUGGACGGCCACAUUGGAACUGAGACACGGUCCAGACUCCUACGGGAGGCAGCAGCUAAGAAUCUUCCGCAAUGGGCGAAAGCCUGACGGAAGCGACGCCGCGUGAACGAAGAAGGCCGUGAGGUUGUAAAGUUCUUUUCGGGAGGGGGAACAACCGUGGCAGGGAAUGGCCGCGGGAUGACGUGAAUCCCGGAAUAAGCCCCGGCUAACUACGUGCCAGCCGCGGC